GGGGCCGCGCCCAUCGGACUUCUCAUCCGAUGGCCGCAGGUUCGAAUCCUGCCGGGCGCGCCA
rnacentral:tRNA from 1 species